GGGGAAUAUUGCACAAUGGGGGAAACCCUGAUGCAGCAACGCCGCGUGAGUGACGAAGGCCUUCGGGUUGUAAAGCUCUGUCUUCACUGACGAAUAAUGACGGUAAGUGAGGAGGAAGCCACGGCUAACUACGUGCCAGCAGCCGCGGUAAUACGUAGGUGGCAAGCGUUGUCCGGAAUUAUUGGGCGUAAAGGAUGCGUAGGCGGUCUUUUAAGUGGGAUGUGAAAUACCUGGGCUUAACUCAGGGAUUGCAUUCCAAACUGGGAGACUAGAGUGCAGGAGAGGAAAGUGGAAUUCCCAGUGUAGCGGUGAAAUGCGUAGAGAUUGGGAGGAACACCAGUGGCGAAGGCGACUUUCUGGACUGUAACUGACGCUGAGGCAUGAAAGCGUGGGGAGCAAAC
rnacentral:rRNA from 1 species